rnacentral:rRNA from 1 species
CCUACGGGAGGCAGCAGUGAGGAAUCUUGCGCAAUGGGCGAAAGCCUGACGCAGCGACGCCGCGUGGAGGAUGAAGGUCUCCGGAUUGUAAACUCCUGUUAAGUGGGAAGAAAUACUCAGUUAUAAUACAGCUGAGGGAUGACGGUACCAUUAGAGAAAGCACUGGCUAACCUCGUGCCAGCAGCCGCGGUAAUACGAGGGGUGCAAGCGUUAUUCGGAUUUAUUGGGCGUAAAGGGUGCGUAGACGGCAUGCUAAGUCAACUGUUAAAUUCCCCGGCCUAACCGGGGGCCAGCAGUAGAUACUGGUGUGCUAGAGGUUGGAAGAGAGAAGUGGAAUUCUCGGAGUAGCGGUAAAAUGCGUAGAUCUCGAGAGGAACACCGAUGGCGAAGGCAGCUUCUUGGUCCAUACCUGACGUUGAGGCACGAAAGCGUGGGGAGCAAACAGGAUUAGAUACCCUGGUAGUCCACGCCGUAAACGAUGAUCACUAGACGUUAGUUCCGCUUUGCGGGAUUAGUGUCGUAGCUAACGCGUUAAGUGAUCCGCCUGGGGAAUUACGGUCGCGAAGACUUAAACUUAAAGGAAUUGAGG